UGUAGCUGAAGCUGAGGCUAGAUGUCAGGAAACCCAGUAUUCUCUAGUGGUCACACACCCAAUCCCAUAGACAGGCCAUGGGGACAGUUCUCAGCUCAGUGAUGGGGACCAGCAAGCGGUUCCAGUAACAGUGCCAAGCCUGCAGCUGAGCCACCUCCCUUGGGGCACAAGGCCCAGUGCCUGCUGUUCCUCGGCACCAGAGAGAGGUUUGAGGGCAGAGGCAUCUCCAUCCCUUGGUGGCUUUGACUUUGAAGCCGCCUUUUGGGGAAGGCAGGGGCUUUCUAUUGUCUGGGACAGGAGUGCUGCAGCAGCCUGGGAGGAAUUGGCUCCAGGGGACCAGAUGGUGGGAGGGUGGCCCGGACAGGAAGGCAGUCCUUGUUGAUGAGCUGUCGGUGGGGCUCCUGGAGAGGAAUGGACAAGACGUGCCAGCCUCUCCUCCAGCUUCCAAGUUGUCCAUGCUGGGAUGAAGAACCGCCUGGUGGGGGAGGGGAGCCAUGCUAUGCCCGUUCCCAGGGAGGCUGUGAGGAGGCAGGAGUGCUCCCCUCCCCACCUGGAUGGAUGUGUCAACUACCAGAGGGCGUGUGGGUGCUCCCCAGGAUAAGGCCCAUGUUGGCAGAACAUUCUAAACCACCUGAAUGGAGGAGACCGCUUUCAUCUUAGACAGCAGUUUCCUUGAGCCUUGUUCACCUGUUGCCUUCUAGCUCAGAGAGGAAUGAGGAAAGCUCCAUUGCCCAUCUUUGUGUCCCGGAUCCUCAUGCCAUGGCAGUGUCAAAUGGGACCUAGGGAAUCUGUGGCGAGAUGCAGAGAAAAGACCAUUAGACGUGUUUCCUACAUGUGCCGUGUAUCAGAUAGAAUGGGGAUCCAGCCAUCACAAAUAAUGAACAAAACCCAGUGACAUGCUUCCUCCCAUCCACUACCUGAAAUGCCACAUACUAAGACACUCUCCCCUCUGCUGCCACACUCUCUGAGUGGCCAGAGUUAUUCCAGCUGCCUGGAUCCCACAGGGCCUUGGAAGAUACAUAUUGCCUCCAGAGCAUUCAUACCCUGCUAGGCUUUGAGCUCCAGGUUUGGCCGCUUGUUCCUUGCCACAGUAGGAGCUUGGCUGGUGUAGAUAGCUCUGAAGUAUGGGAGUGCUGGCAGCAAGGCAGAAGCGAGCUCCGGGAGCCAGGGCUCUCCCAAGGAUGCCCCGUGCUGCUUCCACUUUCCUGGUGGAGCUUCUGUCCGUGGGCCUCGAUUCUGCCUCCCCCUCAUGCCCACCCCUCCCCCCAUCACUGCACACAGCUUGUGGCUGGUUCUAGGCCACAGAUGGAGAUGCUCCGUGGUUGCCUAGACAGUCACCAUGGUGACUGACAUGCGUGGUGGCCACUGGGCAGGGAGCUCUGUGUGUGGUAGUGGAGCCAUCUUUUCCAGCGCUAGGGGUUGUGUAGGUGGAGAGGCGAGGUGCAUACGAAGUAGUAAUGUGUCCUGAUAGGGUGUGGCAAUAUAGCCAAGGGCUUGAGGCUUUCUCCGUGCUCCCGUUAGCCUUUGCUUGCAACCUGGGAGCUGGGUUAGAAUGAGGGCCAGUGCAGAGCUGGGGGAGCCCUGCUUCUUCCACUCUGUUCAGUUCUGUAAGUUGCAGCUCAUCAGUUGCGUCUACUUCUCGAGCACUAUUCGGUUCUGUACAGAGCCUCCCACAACAGAACGAAACGCAUCUGAUAUGUCUUCUGAGAAGCGUGGGGUUUUCACUUUCCAUAAAGGUCGUACACUAAUUCAUUAAAAGCUUAAGCUCUAGACUAGACUCGAGUUAUUACUGUUUCCCCAAGUGUCAAGCAUAAGAUAGUUUUAGUGGAUUUUGUUUCAUUGUGAAAUGAAUGUAAUGCUGGUGUUAGAAAUCCAAAGGGAAGGAUUCUUCCACUCCAGGAGUCAUUUUAGCCAGCAUGUCGCUUCUCUACAGUUCCACUCUACCCUUUUCAUUUUCUUAAAAAUUAUUCCACAAUUUUAAAACAUACACAUUUGUUUUUACUCUUCUUUUUAUCUAUUCUUCUCUCAUACAAUACAUUCAGACCACAGACUCCCCUCUCUCCUCUCCUCCCAGUACCCUCCUUUUCUCCCAGAUCCACUGCUCCUUCAUUUCCCUUCAGAAAAGAGCAGGCUCCCAGGGAUCCCAUCCAAGCAUGGUCUAACACGAUGCAACAAGACUAGGCACAGCCCCUCAUAGCAAGGCUAGAAGAGGCAACCCAGUAGGAAGAAAUGGGUCCCAAGAGCAGGCAAAGAGUCAGAGACAAGCCCACCGUCCGUGGUACAGCUCCUCCUUCCCCUAUAGGCUUCCCCUAGGGAAGUUCAGCUCCAGCUACUGGGAAAGUCUCCCAAUGCAAGCAUAAAAUUCUGCUCCCGUGGGGUGGUUUCCCCAGAGAAAGCGUUACCGCUGAGUGAGAGGCUGCCCCAGCGAAAGCUCUGCUCUGGGCUCUGCUCCAGGGACAGUGUUACAGCUCUGCUGGGAAAGGUGUCCUGCAGUAAGGAGCCAAGGAAUACCCCAAAGCCACACCACACAACAGACCUACAUGAGAGAUUUGGGGGAUGGGAAAUCCCAGCAGGGUGGCUACCUCUGCUCAGGGGAGAGAAGUAGAAGAGAACCAGGCAGAACGCAGAGUUUAUAUAGGGUUUCUUGGGAUGGGGUGCGGGCUUUCCAGGGCAACCUGGGAUUGGGGCAAGCUCAGGGGUUUUGUUUUUGUUUUUGUUUUUUUGUUUUUUGUUUUUGUUGUUGUUGGGAAGGGCCUGGCCACUCUACCACCUUGAGGGGCUGGAGCAGCCAUCAUUGUUGUUUUAACCAUUUAGGUGGGUAGGACAAUCUGAGGGUGGAGCCUAGCUAUUGGACCUCCUUUGGUGAGGCCUGGACACUUGUGUGCCUUGAAGGCUUGCAAAGUUUACAGGAAAAGCCUUCCCCGAGUAUGAGUUGGUGUAAAAUUGGCAUAAGUAGCCAAUACCCACUACCACAGUUGGGGGUACCACAAAAACUCCAAGCUAAACAACCACAUGUGUAUGGUGCAGAGUGCCUGGAACUCUAUGUGGACUCUGUGAGUCCCUGUGUGCCUUGCUGGUUGAUUCUGUGGGCCGUGAUCCUAUGGUGUCCUUGACCCCUUUGGCUUCUACAGCCCUACCUCCCACAUUUCUGCAGAGUUCCCUGAGCUCUGCCUAUUGGCUGUGGCUCUCAGCAUCUGCUCCCAUCAGCUUCCAGAGGCAAUCUCUCUGAUGGCAACUGGGCUGGGCACUCAUCUCUGAGUAUGGCAGAAUAUUGUUAGGGAUCAUUUCAUUGACUUUUUUUCUGUCAGUAGAAACAUACACUUCAUACUAAGAUAAAAGCAUAAUUAUUAUAAAGUAUAAAUUAUUGCCAUGGUAAUGUUUUUUACCUGAUUAAAGAGGAAAUUACUGUUAUACUAGCUCUGAAUCUUUGGAUUCUAAGUAAUUGGAUUUAGUCAUUACUUAAAAAAAAAAGUCUGAGGGAGUCACUCCAAGUGACUCCAUCUUAAGUCAAGCUGACAAAAAUUAACCGGCACCAUUGGCCCCUUGUCAGGUUGACAUACUAACACAUCACUUUUAAACCAUGUUUCCAAGAAUUCUUAUUAAUAUCACAGUAUAAAAUACAGGCCAGAGUCAGGUAUGUGGUACAUACCUUUAAUCCCAGCAGUCAGGAGGUAAGACAGUGGAUCUCAGAAUUUAAGGUCAGCCAGGGCUACAUAGCUUACCCUC
rnacentral:lncRNA from 1 species